GCAAUCUCUAUGGUAACCACAUUUCCCAGUUGACUACUACCGGUAAUAAAAUCAAAUGGAUUCAGUGCUCACAACUCUUCAGUCUUUGGGCUACUUUCCAUUCUUGAAUUUUUAGCUGAAUUCAUCUCUUUGGCUGGAUUUUGUGAAUCGGGCAGCCAUUAGAACCAAAACAGUUCUGAGGAGCUCCCAGGCUGCAAUGUGGUGCGAAAUGUUUUAUGGACAGAAAAUGGAAAUGAGGUGCAGAAAUUGGAGAUGAAAUUUCAGUCUUUAUUCAAGAUCAAGUGCAACUGUCUCUUUGAGGAAAGUCCUUUGACCGCCAUUUCUCCCCUUCAGAAGGCAAACACCUGGGGGAGAAGAUCUGCUUAAGGACCUGGUAACUGACAAAGAAUGGAAUGGGAGCGAGAACCGCCUAGCCAUCCCUUCUCCUUGCACAGUCAUGAAACAAAAGUUGAAAAGGAGCCUGGUUUUACUUGACCAGUCAUAAAUUACCAUAAAAUAAAAUGAG
rnacentral:lncRNA from 1 species